rnacentral:rRNA from 1 species
UACGUAGGGUGCAAGCGUUAAUCGGAAUUACUGGGCGUAAAGCGUGCGCAGGCGGUUCUUUAAGGCAGAUGUGAAAUCCCCGGGCUCAACCUGGGAACUGCAUUUGUGACUGUAGAGCUGGAGUACGGCAGAGGGGGAUGGAAUUCCGCGUGUAGCAGUGAAAUGCGUAGAUAUGCGGAGGAACACCGAUGGCGAAGGCAAUCCCCUGGGCCUGUACUGACGCUCAUGCACGAAAGCGUGGGGAGCAAACAGG